GAUUAUUCUUCAGGUUGAUACUAACUUGGUAAUGUUGCUGUUCCGAGACCCCGCUGCCGCUGCGGACGCCAUGGAGACCGUCAAGGCGCAGACUGUUGUGUGCCGCCUCUUCCAUGGGCGUCCACGCCAUGGAGCUCCUUAAGACACCCUCAAUGAUGACCAAGGUGGAGUGCAGGACAUCGAGGACAUGAUAUGAACCGCCGUUCCAGACGCCCGCCUCGGGGAAGGAGCACUCCAUCCCGCUGAUAACAAUGUUUUGAAAGAGGAGAUGACGGAUUUGGUGGAGGAGAGGAACUCCCUCAAGGACGAAAAGAGGAGCCCUGUGUACAGAAAACUUGUGAUGCUGCUUUGUCAAGUGCUUGUGUGGUGGUUUCGAUUUGACCUAGAAGACCGCCGCUUCGCUCCUCCGGGGCUGCUUAUUC